GAUGAACGCUGGCGGCGUGCCUAAUACAUGCAAGUCGAGCGAACAGACGAGGAGCUUGCUCCUCUGACGUUAGCGGCGGACGGGUGAGUAACACGUGGAUAACCUACCUAUAAGACUGGGAUAACUUCGGGAAACCUGACCUAAUACCUGAUAAUAUAUUAAACCGCAUGGUUCAAUAUAGAAAGACGGUUUUGCUGUCACUUAUAGAUUGUUCCGCGCCGCAUUAGCUAGUUGGUAAGGUAACGGCUUACCAAGGCAACGAUUCGUAGCCGAACUGAGAGGGUGAUCAGCCACACUGGAACUGAGACACGGUCCAGACUCCUACGGGAGGCAGCAGUAGGGAAUCUUCCGAAAUGGGCGAAAGCCUGACGGAGCAACGCCGAGUGAGUGAUGAAGGUCUUCGGAUCGUAAAACUCUGUUAUUAGGGAAGAACAAAUGUGUAAGUAACUAUGCACGACUUGACGUUACCUAAUCAGAAAGCCACGGCUAACUACGUG
rnacentral:rRNA from 1 species